rnacentral:rRNA from 1 species
CCUAUGGGGGCAGCAGUGGGGAAUAUUGCACAAUGGGGGGAACCCUGAUGCAGCGACGCCGCGUGGGUGAAGGAGCACCUCGGUGCGUAAAGCCCUAUCGGCAGGGAAGAAACAGACGUUACCUGACUAAGAAGCCCCGGCUAACUACGUGCCAGCAGCCGCGGUAAUACGUAGGGGGCAAGCGUUAUCCGGAUUCACUGGGUGUUAAGGGAGCGUAGACGGCGACUCAAGUCUUG